GUUUCUAAUUGUCACGGCUCCGCUUCCCCUUCCUCUUCCAUCGACGACGACGGCGACGACAACCUCAUCAAGAAGAAGAGAAACUCGCGGCCCAAUAAGCCCUCCGCUGCGCCUUUCUCGGCCACAUCUCCUCCUACUUCAUCUAUCCGAUGCCAGCAAACUCAUCGUCGCCUUCGUCCGCAGCUGGCCCCCAUCGGACCAUCACCGUCUUCCCCUGCAGCCCCUCUGGGGUCAACCUAUGCGCAUCUGGAUCCAUGAACCUCGCUGCGGGCCGGGCCCAAGAUGAUCGGGGUCCUCGAGGUCGUCGUCGGGGGUUUCUCCUUCGGAGUACCUGGUUCACGCCUUGUCUAGAUGGAUGCUAUGGUUGUCAGUGAAGCUAUCCGUCAUGAGUUGCAAAUCGACGAAGUGGAUGGGACGAGAUCAGUUAUUGCUAACCUUGAAGGAGUCAUAUUUGAGAUAACCCUGAAGCGAGAUUAAGAUUAUGUUAACAAGUACAUCUUCUUUGUCUAUUUAGAAUAAAAAAGAUAGUUAAAUUAUGACGUCAUAUUUCUUGAGUUGUAUUGUCAUAGAUUUAAAACUGGAGAUGCGGGGUAUCGAUCCCCGUACCUCUCGCAUGCUAAGCAAGCGCUCUACCAUCUGAGCUACAUCCCCAUAGAUGAUUUUAUUUAGGAAAGAGAGAAUAUAGUUAAGUAGAUGAUUUUAUUUAUAUUAAUUUGGUCAUUUGUAGAUUUGAAUUUCAAAGUGAAACAGAAAUCAACUCCAUCGAUAUUGUAUCAGUAUAGUUUUUAUAUGACAAAUUACAAUUCUUAA